rnacentral:rRNA from 1 species
CAUGCAAGUCGAACGCGUCUUGGGGGGCAACUCUUGAGAUGAGUGGCGAACGGGUGAGUAACACGUGAGUAAUCUACCCUCGAGUGAGGAAUAACCCCGCGAAAGCGGAGCUAAUACUGCAUAAUACUCUGGAGCGUAAGCUUUCAGAGUCAAAGCUUUCCGAGCAAUCGGACAGCGCUUGAGGAUGAGCUUGCGGCCUAUUAGCUUGUUGGUGAGGUAACGGCUCACCAAGGCAAAGAUGGGUAGCCGGCUUGAGAGGGUGUACGGCCUCACUGGGACUGAGACACGGCCCAGACUCCUACGGGAGGCAGCAGUGGGGAAUCUUGCGCAAUGGGCGAAAGCCUGACGCAGCGACGCCGCGUGGAGGAUGAAGGCCUUCGGGUUGUAAACUCCUGUCAGAGGAGAAGAAUCUCCGAGCAAUCGGAGUUGACGG